AGUAAGGGGAAAUAUUGGAACCCUAGACUCACGAUGGCACUAAUAGUCGGUUAUAGUGAAUAACCCUAACAUAAGAAUUUGACGACUCGUUGCAUCUGUAUAGAAUUUGACAACUUGUAUCAUGUGCUAACAUUUUGUACGUCUAUUUUGUCUCCAACUUCGUGCUCAACGCACAAUUUCAGUUUUGUCGUGCAAAUGUAUACGUUGCAUUAGGCUUCAUCGUGAGGUUGUAUUUCGACGCAUCUGUCUUUAUCAAGUUGUCAAUUGAUUUACCUUUUUGUCCUUGCGUAUUUCAGUAUCAUGUCACUUAUUUUCUUAAGUCACCUCGUUUAUAGAUUGAUGUCGGUUAGUGAGCUUCUCUUAUGAUCUCUAUUUUGAUUUAGUUUUGGCCAUUCGUUUAA